UGGGUUGCAUUCAGGUGAUGUGGGGUAGCGUUCCACAAGUCUUA
rnacentral:tRNA from 1 species